rnacentral:pre_miRNA from 1 species
AUCCCCCUGCCAGCGUUGGUCUAGUGGAAAGAACUAACGCUGACGGGGGCGAUUUCU